AUAUGGCAGGGUAAGAUUGAGAAGAAUGGAGUUCCCUCCUGCACUCUGAAGUUUAGAGUUUUUUAAUGGAGAAGAAGACCCUUGACCCAUGGACUUCUGUGGAGAUUUGCCACCCUAGAACAAUGGCUUAUGCCAUUAUGGUCUCCAGAUCAUCACCUUCUUUUUGUUCUGGGUCAGUCAUUCAGCACUUCCUUUGAUAACACUGGCUUUUGCGUGUUGGGGUAUGGCAAGCCCAAGGUGUAUGAGGUAACUUUUUUCAGUUGGAACCAAGAGUGACAAUUGAAGGUGAAGUUUCUAGGAUUUACACAGUAAUUUAUAUUGUUGCACAGACUGGACCCAAAUGGCAACCACAAAAAUGGUAGCUCAUAGAACAGAAGAUGUAUUCUUUCAGGGUUGUCCUAGUUACUGUAAACCACAAAUGAAAAAUAAAUAAUGAUUAAUGAAGUGUUUGUCCCUGGUGGGAGGAAGAGAUGUAGCACACUUAUAGAAAAGAUAACAAAUGCAUCCCAAGAUUGCCCAGAGGCUGAGUGAUCUUAUAAGGUCUAAGGAACUGUGAAGCAAAUUGAAUACAAAGUCCUUUAGCAAACCAGUGACAGCCAAAUACCUCAUGGUGAUGACUUAUAUUUAGGAACUAUGGGUAUUUAAAGAUAAUAGUUUGUUAGAAAAGAAUAAUUUGUUAGUGAAGUUGUUAUAAUUUAUCCAAUGAUAUUUAUUGAUGAUGUAAUUGACAAUAACAUUAUUAUUGUAGUAUGCAAGUUAAAUGAAGUUCUCACUUUUGCUCUCAUGGUCCCUAAGGAAUCUUUGUACUUUGUUCAAAAGAAAGGUCCAUAUCUGUCCUCUGUUCUUAAAAGGUUAGGGAAGGAUGGUUAUCAAUGUUCAAACAACAGCUUGCAGGGGGGUAUCAAUAAUUAGGGAUGUUUGGGCUCACUGUGUCCUUUUGUGAUUUCUUUCCUGAGUGGGUAUAAAGACUUAUAGAGUCACUCCAGAUAGGAAACCUAAAAACUUAACAGACAGCUCCAUUAAAGAUUAGUUUGGUGAAGCAAUUAAUAUAUUGAGUGGUUUGCUGGACCACAGUAGUCUGGUUGGUUACCUACAGAAAUGUGAGUGACUCAACUAGAACUAUGCCACCGAAGCCUCCUUCUCCAGCUUGGAUGAAAGCUCACAACAGCUGCUUCAUCCCUGUUCAGCCUUCUAUUGCCUGUUGUGCUAUCACUGCAAAGAAAUGCGUGGUUGUGGGAGGUGGAAGUAUUGGCUGGAAUCUCAGUAGAGGUUUGGAUGAUUGACCCUCUUUCUAGGAAGAAUUAUUACCAGGUCCAGUCUCCAGUGGGUCUCUGCUUCUCUAAUACAAGAUGGUGACAGUCAUGUCCAAUCCCAAAGAAAAUGACACCAACAUCCUUCCUUUAUUUAUUUUUAGCAUCCCCUUUCCUUUGUGUAGGGUAAACACAUCAUUUCAGAUGCCACUGUGGUACUCUCUGUCACCUUUUCCCUUUCUAGA